rnacentral:rRNA from 1 species
CAUGUAGGCGGUCAAUCAAGUCAGAUGUGAAAGUCCUGGGCUUAACCCAGGAAGUGCAUCUGAAACUGUUUGGCUAGAGUACAGGAGAGGUAGGUGGAAUUCCUGGUGUAGAGGUGAAAUUCGUAGAUAUCGGGAAGAACACCGGUGGCGAAGGCGGCCUUCUGGCCUGAUACUGACGCUGAGAUGCGAAAGCGUGGGGAGCAAACAGGAUUAGAUACCCUGGUAGUCC